UUUCACUUUGUUAAUGAUGUUAAAAUUGAUAAUAGUUACAGGUCUGAUCAUUCACCUGUGGUCUUUUCUUUCAAGAUUAAUGAAUUUAUAAAAGGCAGAGGCCUUUGGAAGUUUAAUAAUUCCUUUCUUCAUGAUACUGACUAUGUUAAAGAGAUAAAAAAAAAAAAAAACCCAAAAAAAACCUCAUAAGUAUAGUAAAAGAACAAUAUGCCGUCAAGAUAUAUAGAGAUGAAAAUUUACAAAAUAUUGACAACUCUGAAAUUGAAUUUACUGUUGAUGACCAGUUAUUUUUAGAAACUCUACUCACAGAAAUACGCGGUAAAACUAUUUCAUAUGCCUCUUAUAAAAAAAAAGGCGGGUAUAAAAAUUGAAAAUGAAAUUAUUUCAAAAUUAAAACAAUUAGAAGAAAAUGCUCUAACAGUAGAAAAUCUGGAAGAGAUUGAUCAGAAAAAAGCAGAACUUAAAAUGUAUAGACAAAAGAAGGUUCAGGGACAAUACAAUAUGUUAGGUCAAGAAGUCAGUGGAUUGAAGAAGGAG
rnacentral:lncRNA from 1 species